rnacentral:rRNA from 1 species
UUCAAGAUUCUAAGAGCAAACGGUGGAUGCCUUGGCAUCUGGAGCCGAAGAAGGACGUAUAAAUCUGCGAUAAGCCUCGGGGAGCUGAUAAUAGAGCUGUGAUCCGAGGAUCUCCGAAUGGGGAAACCCCGCCAGGCCCUUUGGGUGACCUGGUGACUCCCGCCUGAAUAUAUAGGGCGGGUAGAGGGAACGUGGGGAAGUGAAACAUCUCAGUACCCACAGGAAGAGAAAGCAAAAGCGAUUCCGUUAGUAGUGGCGAGCGAAACCGGAAGAGGCCAAACCGAUCAUGUGUGAUAUCCGGUAGGAGUUGCAUGGUCGGGGUUGCGGGACUUUCCGUACAGUUCUACCGAGCUGUGAGGGCAAUGAGCGCGAUAUAGACGAAUGG